GGAAUAUUGCACAAUGGGCGCAAGCCUGAUGCAGCCAUGCCGCGUGUGUGAAGAAGGCCUUCGGGUUGUAAAGCACUUUCAGCGGGGAGGAAGGCGGUGAGGUUAAUAACCUCAUCGAUUGACGUUACCCGCAGAAGAAGCACCGGCUAACUCCGUGCCAGCAGCCGCGGUAAUACGGAGGGUGCAAGCGUUAAUCGGAAUUACUGGGCGU
rnacentral:rRNA from 1 species